CACAUGACUCUCGGCAACGGAUAUCUCGGCUCUCGCAUCGAUGAAGAACGUAGCAAAAUGCGAUACCUGGUGUGAAUUGCAGAAUCCCGCGAACCAUCGAGUUUUUGAACGCAAGUUGCGCCCGAGGCCUUCUGGUUGAGGGCACGUCUGCCUGGGCGUCACGCC
rnacentral:rRNA from 1 species